rnacentral:rRNA from 1 species
UACACCAUAGACUGUGAGUUGCGAACGGGUGAGUAACGCGUAGGUAACCUGCCUAUUAGAGGGGGAUAACUAUUGGAAACGAUAGCUAAUACCGCAUAACAGUAUGUAACACAUGUUAGAUGCUUGAAAGAUGCAAUUGCAUCGCUAGUAGAUGGACCUGCGUUGUAUUAGCUAGUAGGUAGGGUAAAGGCCUACCUAGGCAACGAUACAUAGCCGACCUGAGAGGGUGAUCGGCCACACUGGGACUGAGACACGGCCCAGACUCCUACGGGAGGCAGCAGUAGGGAAUCUUCGGCAAUGGGGGGAACCCUGACCGAGCAACGCCGCGUGAGUGAAGAAGGUUUUCGGAUCGUAAAGCUCUGUUGUUAAGGAAGAACGAGUGUGAGAAUGGAAAGUUCAUACUGUGACGGUACUUAACCAGAAAGGGACGGCUAACUACGUGCCAGCAGCCGCGGUAAUACGUAGGUCCCGAGCGUUGUCCGGAUUUAUUGGGCGUAAAGCGAGCGCAGGCGGUUAGAAAAGUCUGAAGUGAAAGGCAGUGGCUCAACCAUUGUAGGCUUUGGAAACUGUUUAACUUGAGUGCAGAAGGGGAGAGUGGAAUUCCAUGUGUAGCGGUGAAAUGCGUAGAUAUAUGGAGGAACACCGGUGGCGAAAGCGGCUCUCUGGUCUGUAACUGACGCUGAGGCUCGAAAGCGUGGGGAGCGAACAGGAUUAGAUACCCUGGUAGUCCACGCCGUAAACGAUGAGUGCUAGGUGUUAGGUCCUUUCCGGGACUUAGU